GAUGAAGAACGUAGCGAAAUGCGAUAAGUAAUGUGAAUUGCAGAAUUCAGUGAAUCAUCGAAUCUUUGAACGCACAUUGCGCCCCUUGGUAUUCCGAGGGGCAUGCCUGUUCGAGCGUCAUUAUAACCCCUCAAGCUCAGCUUGGUGUUGGGGCCUGCUGCACUGGCAGCCCUUAAAAUCAGUGGCGGCGCCAUCUGGCUCUAAGCGUAGUAAUUCUUCUCGCUAUGGAGUCCUGGUGGAUGCUUGCCAUCAACCCCCAAUUUUUCUAUGGUUGACCUCGGAUCAGGUAGGGAUACCCGCUAAACUUAAGCAUAUCAAUAAGCGGAGGA
rnacentral:misc_RNA from 1 species